rnacentral:lncRNA from 1 species
AGUUAACUUUUUAAAAAAGUUUUUAUGAACUUAAGUCUUGUGAUGUUUGAAAUAAUGGAUUCAAUUUAGACAUCAAAUUCCAGAAGUUACUAAGAGCAGCUGGGCGCGGCAGCUCACACCUGUAAUCCCAGCACUUUGGGAGGCCGAGGCGGGUGGAUCACCUGAGAUCAGGAGUUCCAGACCAGCCUGGCCAACAUAGUAAAACCCUGUCUCUACUAAAAAUACAAAAAUUAGCCCGGCAUGGUGGCACGCCCUGUAGUCCCAGCUACUUGGGAGGCUGAGGCAGGAGAAUUGCUUGAACCCGGGAGGUGGAGGUUGUGGUGAGCCGAGAUUGUGCCACUGUACUCAAGCCUGGGCUAAAAAGCGAGACUCCGUCUCAAAAAAAAAAAAAAAAAAAACACGUUACUAAGAGCAACUCUGGGCCAGGCACGGUGGCUUACACCUGUAAUCCCAGCAUUUUGGGAGGACGAGACAGGCGGAUCACUUGAGCCCAGGAGUUCAAGACCAGCAUAAGCAACAACGCAAAACCCCUGACUCUACAAAACAUGAAAGAAUUAGCAAGGCAUGGUGGUGCAUGCCUGUAGUCCCAGCUACUGGAGAGGCUGAGGCAAAAGGAUCACUUGAGUACAGGAGGUUGAGGCUGUGUAAUGAGCCGUGUUCACACCAUUGCACUUCAGCCUGGGCAACAGACUGAGACCCUGUCUCAAAAAAAAAAACCAAACCAAAGCAACAAACAAAAAACAAGAGCAACUCUGCUUCUGUACACUUUUUUUUUUUUUUUUGGUAGUGACAUGAUCUAUGUUGCCCAAGCUGGUCUCGAGUUCCUGGGUUCAAGCCAUUCUCCCACCUCGGGCUCCCAAAGUGCUAGGAUUACAGGCAUGAAUCACCAUGCCCAGCCCUUCUGUACACUUUUCACAGUGUACCCUUUUGUGUUUUUUAAAAUGUUUGUGUAUACAUUUAUUGUGAAUUUUUAAAAAACAUGUAAUUAAGGCCAGGCAUGGUGGCUCAUACCUGUAAUCCUAGCACUUUGAGAGGCUGAGGUGGGUGGAUCACCUGAGGUCGGUAGUUCGAGACCAGCCUGGCCCAACAUGGUGAAACCCCAUCUCUACUAAAAAUACAAAAAAAAAAUUAGCUCGGCAUGGUGGUGGGCGCCUGUGAUCCCAGCUACUGGAGAGGCUGAAGCAUGAGAAUCACUUGAACCCAGGAGGCGGAGGUUGCAGUGAGCCAAGAUCGUGCCACUACACUCCAGCCUGGGUGACUCAGUGACUGUCUCAAAAAGAAAAAAAGUAAUUAAGUUCUGUCAUGAUAUAUCAUCAUUACCCUUUUUGAACUUUUAAAAUUUUUUAUCUUUAGAGGUAAUUCAUAUAAUGUUCUUCAAUAGAUAAGUGCUUUUCUGUCAAUAUAUCUUGGAGAACACACCAUAUCAGUAUUUAAAACUCUCAUUCUUCCUAUUUCUCCACAUCCUCUCCAGCACCCGUUGUUUCCUGACUUUUUAAUGAU